GAUAAGAACUUGGAAGGGUAGAGGGAGAAUUAUUUUCCAUCCCCUGCAGUGUCACAGGAUUAUUAACAGCAGUAAAAGCCAAAAUGACCAACUUCAACUUUACUGAGCCCCUGAGGAUGUUUUGGAAGCAGGAGGAUGGAGCUGAAUUUUCUGAGAGGCUGGACACAUGCGUUGGCUGAAAGAGUCAUGCAGCUCAGUGCUAUGGCCAUCUGUGUACUCAGGAGAUAUUGGUUGAAAUUUGAAACAGGAAAAAUUGGCUGAAACCCAAAGAUUAUUAUGAAAAAAGAGUCAGAAGAAACUCAUGAUGGGCUGCGUUCCAGGAAGAGGAAAUGGGCCAAGGCUGGAGGAAAAGACCACCAUUCAGACAGGAGGAAAUACACACCGAAUGGAAAAUGAAGACACAGAGAUUAACAUCCACAUUCUGAAAGCGAUAACAGUGCAGUGUUCAGUAAAUGGCUUGGCAAAAAAUUUCAUUUUGUCUCCUGAAUAAACAUCAA